AGGCUGAUGAAGGCUGGAUCAUUCGAGCGCUAAAAUUAGAAAUAAGGCCUAUAACUAAUGAGUAAAUCUUCGGUUGAUGAAGGUUUGACUAAUCUGAUUUUCUAAAAGAUAUGGUGCAAGAAUUUUUUUAUUGAUUUUUCUAUAAUAAAAUAUGAGUGUAAAAAUAUGAGUUUUUAUAUGGUUUUAAUAUUUAAUUGUCCAUUAUUUUUUUGGUGAGACAUUAUUUAUUUUUUAAAUUAGUGUGGAUCUAAUUAUGAGGGUUAUCAAUGUAUAUAGCCAUAAUGGAAGAAGGUUACAACUCUUACAUUCGUUAGAUGUAAAUGGCUAGGAUGAGACUGGGAUGGUCGGAUCAUCCGUUUGUCUCUGAAAAUGUUAUCCGUCUGUCGGUGGCUCAAAAACCUAUUCUGUUUUGUAUUAUAGAUUAAAUGAAUACCCUUAUUUUUUUUA